GCUAAAGACAACUUUCACCAGUAUACGAUUUGUUAUUCAAGAUCAUUUACAAGUGUAGUUUCAGCAAUUGAUGAAAGGGAAAUGUGCUUAAUCCCUAACAAAACUCAAAGCUUGGGAUGUUAGCACGUACAAUGGGCAGGUGAGAAAUAUAACUCCCUGACCAGCUGCCAAGGAAUUAUCUCUGUUUCUUCAUAUUAAUGAUCCAUAAGCAGCAACUGUUAGUUGGAGGAUACAAUUUCACAAACCAAUUAAUUCUGCCUUUGAAAGGUAGCUGGAUAGGGGCGCUCUAAUAUAAAAGAAAGACUGAUAGAUUCUUCCAAAAAGAAGUGUAUUUUUCCUUAACUGGACUUCAUGCACUAGAAUCAUGGAUCCACCACCCUCAGACCCUCCACCGAGUCAAGCACCACUUCUAUCACCAUCACCACCUCAACCUCCUCAGUUCGGUGGAUGUCUUGAAUCAUUCCUCUGGUUUCUAUCCUGCUGUGGUUUGUUGUCAUGUUGCUGCCCUCCACUCUUUGAGCCAUGGCCUCCACCUCCCUAGAGAUUGCAAUGCUUGCUUUUGAUGUCUAAGGAAUUUGACUACAUUAAUUUCUUAUCCUGAAAUCAGUGUCACCACAUUAGUUUUAUGCAUUAUUGUGCCACACCUUUGUAUGUUUGUUAGUUUAUCUUUCCUUUAACACUUCAUGAUAAGACUUUCAUUGUUCUUGAAGAAAGAAAUGAAUCAGAAUGUAGGGAAUCAUGAUGUCCCUCUUCUUUUGUAUUGAACAUUAUC